GACGAACGCUGGCGGCGUGCUUAACACAUGCAAGUCGAACGGAAAGGCCCUGCUUUUGUGGGGUGCUCGAGUGGCGAACGGGUGAGUAACACGUGAGUAACCUGCUCUUGACUUUGGGAUAACUUCAGGAAACUGGGGCUAAUACCGGAUAGGAGCUCCUGCUGCAUGGUGGGGGUUGGAAAGUUUCGGCGGUUGGGGAUGGACUCGCGGCUUAUCAGCUUGUUGGUGGGGUAGUGGCUUACCAAGGCUUUGACGGGUAGCCGGCCUGAGAGGGUGACCGGCCACAUUGGGACUGAGAUACGGCCCAGACUCCUACGGGAGGCAGCAGUGGGGAAUAUUGCACAGUGGGCGGAAGCCUGAUGCAGCAACGCCGCGUGCGGGAUGACGGCCUUCGGGUUGUAAACCGCUUUCGCCUGUGACGAAGCGUGAGUGACGGUAAUGGGUAAAGAAGCACCGGCUAACUACGUG
rnacentral:rRNA from 1 species